AGGCCAAGAUCCAAGACAAGGAAGUUAUUCAAUUGCUAGAUUUUUGCUGACCCUUCUGUUUGUUUCCUGAGAAAAUGAACAUUUCAGCUUUAUUUUACUCUUUUCCUUGCCUUUAAUCAAUUGAAAUUAUAAGCUACUAAUUUGGGAAUUGAUUAUUGUUGAACAGGAAUCCCACCGGACCGGCAGCGAUUGAUCUUCGCUGGGAA
rnacentral:misc_RNA from 1 species